rnacentral:rRNA from 1 species
UACGUAGGAGACGAGCGUUGUCCGGAAUUACUGGGCGUAAAGCGCGUGUAGGCGGCUAUGUAAGUCGGGCGUGAAAUCCCACGGCUCAACCGUGGAAGUGCACCCGAAACUGCGUAGCUAGAGUCCUGGAGAGGAAGGUGGAAUGCUUGGUGUAGAGGUGAAAUUCGUAGAUAUCAAGCGGAACACCGGUGGCGAAGGCGGCCUUCUGGACAGUGACUGACGCUGAGACGCGAAAGCGUGGGGAGCAAACAGG